UUAUUAAUUUUUUUCCCCUUACUAUACUGGUUCAGUCUUCAGCUUCUUUUCACGUUUCAGUUCAUCAAUGGCGUUCAACCUCCCGAUCACGUAUUCGCAGCUUCCGGCGCACGUUAGCACUUUCGGCCGACGUCUGACUGUUUCCGCUACUGCGGUGUCUCGUACAAAUGCAGAGGCUGUGGACUGGGUGAAGGAAACUGCGAGCUUCUUCGAGCGGGAUGCUCGCCCUAUCAUGUUAUUUGACGGUGUAUGCAAUUUAUGCAAUGGAGGCGUGAAGUUUGUCCGUGACCACGAUAAGCGAAGGAAUAUUAGAUUUGAAGCCCUACAAAGUGAAGCAGGCAAGAAACUGUUGCAGAGAUCUGGAAGAGCGCCUGAUGAUAUAUCGAGCGUAGUUCUUGUGGAAAAAGAUAGGUCUUAUAUAAAGUCAGAAGCUGUACUAAAGAUUAUGGAAUACAUAGAUUUGCCCUUCCCUCAGCUGGCAUUGUUUCUGCAAUUCAUUCCACUAUUCAUCCGAAAUUUUGUGUAUGAGAAUGUUGCAGAUAACAGAUACAACAUUUUUGGCCGAUCAGAUUAUUGUGAUCUAUAGGAAGGAGUCGAACAAUUGACUAGCGGGCUUGAUGUAUGGGCAAUUGUUCCAAUGGUGUUGAUGCACUCUGCAGUGGCUGAACAUUUUGGAUCGGCUGAUUUUAUAUUUACAUCUUCGAGUUGGAUGUUGGUGCAAGUUUCUGUGAAGUUUAAGUUGGUAAAGUUGAUGUUCCUAGCAAAACCCGAGCCUCCCUACAGGACAACAUUGAGACAACACUGGACCUUGAAAUUCAGCCUGAGAGAUCAAAAAGGACUUCCCACUAGGUACUGCAACUGUAGGAGUACCCGUGUUACUACAAGCUGCUUCCCAUGCCGAUAAAAAUGCCUGUAUUUUGUUUGGUAAUCAGAAGUCCACCCAUCAAUUCUUAGCGUGGCUGUUGAUGACAAGCCGGGCUUCCCAUCUCCAAUGGUUAUUUCAGACAUUGACCAAUACAAGAUUGGAAGAUACACCAGGGUCAGGGUCAUUACGACAAGUGUUGUCAGGCCACCAGGUGGAACCCUGGCCGUCGAUCACUCCCUUACCCUUCAUCACCAAACCAUUGAUGCCGAAAAAUUGGAUCCAGGCAUCUGGACUCCCCUUCCAUUCUCUUUUCAC